rnacentral:rRNA from 1 species
UACGUAGGGUGCAAGCGUUAAUCGGAAUUACUGGGCGUAAAGCGUGCGCAGGCGGUUGUGCAAGACCGAUGUGAAAUCCCCGGGCUUAACCUGGGAAUGGCAUUGGUGACUGCACGGCUAGAGUGUGUCAGAGGGGGGUGGAAUUCCGCGUGUAGCAGUGAAAUGCGUAGAGAUGCGGAGGAACACCGAUGGCGAAGGCAGCCCCCUGGGCUGACACUGACGCUCAGGCACGAA